AUUGAACGCUGGCGGCAGGCCUAACACAUGCAAGUCGAGCGAGCGGCGGACGGGUGAGUAAUGUAUGGGGACUGCCCGCUAGAGGGGGAUAACUACUGGAAACGGUGGCUAAUACCGCAUACUAUCGGAUAACCCAUAUGGGAUUAGCUAGUAGGUGGGGUAAAGGCUCACCGAGGCGACGAUCUCUAGCUGGUCUGAGAGGAUGAUCAUCCAAACUGGGACGGGGAAACGGCCCAGACUCCUAAGGCGGCAGAAGGGGGGAAGAUUGAAAAAUGGGCGAAAGCCUGAUGCAGCAAUGCCGCGGGUAUGAAGAAGGCCUUAGGGUUGUAAAGUACUUUCAGCGGGGAGGCGUGACCCGCAGAAGAAGCACCGGCUAACUCCGUGCCAGCAGCCGCGGGAAUUC
rnacentral:rRNA from 1 species